UACGAAGGGGGCUAGCGUUGUUCGGAAUUACUGGGCGUAAAGCGCGCGCAGGCGGCUAUCCAAGUCAGGGGUGAAAUCCCGGGGCUCAACCUCGGAACUGCCUUUGAUACUGCGAGUCUUGAGUCCGAUAGAGGUGGGUGGAAUUCCUAGUGUAGAGGUGAAAUUCGUAGAUAUUAGGAAGAACACCAGUGGCGAAGGCGGCUCACUGGCUCGUUUCUGACGCUCAGGCGCGACAGCGUGGGGAUCAAACAGG
rnacentral:rRNA from 1 species